UGAGCAAAAGUUACCAUGGCGAUCUACCCCGGUAAGAAGCGAACCAACGUCGUAGGAUGGAAAACCCAGGGUUAAUCCUGAAGUUACCUCGCUAACCCCAAAUCCUGCUAGGUAGUACAGGCCUCUGUUGUCACCGAUGGAAAGUUGGGAG